rnacentral:lncRNA from 1 species
GCAGCUGCUGCGGGACGCCGCAGAGAGCGCCUGGGGCCGACCGCCGAGUGUGAGACGCGUACCCGGAUUGGAUGCCCGAGCCCGCGGUGAAUGGGACUCCCUUACCCAUUGGUUCAUUUAACGGUACCACUCGGAGACAGGUAGAAUGGAGCUGGACAGAGAGGUUUGCCUUUCCCACCCUCUCACCCGCCCUGGCUGCCCUUUUCUUAUUACUCUGUUGUGGGUCCCUUGUUUUAGGCAGAAGACGAAGAAGUUCCUUUUGCCUUCACCUGCACAAGGAAAGACACUCUGAAACAACCAGUUCAUUUUUUUUUUCUGGUCAUGUUUCUGCCUUUUAAAAUUCCCUUUCUGUUUUAAAAUCAUCCUCUGGUCAUCUCACGCGCACAUUCCUUCUAUUUAGAAUAAGGUGUUGUCUGUUUCUACAGUCCCAAAUAAAAGUCUGUUGGGGUCCUCAAACUAAGUUUGUUCUAAUUUUGCCACAGCCGUGGAUGUGAAAUUAUGCUCGUGCCUUUAAAACUAGUAUUAAUAGCUGAAUUAUCCAACUUCAAACUUAAUUAGCAGAAUUGCCCGAGAUAUAUUUCUUUAAUAUUUGUAUUGCCCAGACAUAGUUGACAAAGAGGUUAGUAUUUUUUCUUUGUAUCUCUAAUGCCCAAAGGUGAACCUGACAUGCAUGGACUUACUCAAUGAUUUUUGGGUUUAACGAGGUAUGUUAAGGUACUCCAUGUUUAAAUGCUUCCUCUGUUAAGAUGCAAGUGCUCAGAAAAUGUUUUCAUUACAGUAUCUACACACAAGAUACUUAAGGGGAUACAAUUAAUCGAGUUAAGGAUAUCAAAAUCAUAUACUAUACCCUGAAAUCUAAAAGACUUAGCUGGAAACCCAGUAGCUGGAUUUAUUGGGUUCUGGGCAUUAAACGUCAAAGGCUGAAUUUGGUACCCUGCUCUGAGUUGAGAGUACAGCCAUAAUUCAGAGCCUGGGUGCAAUCAAGGAGACAAUUUUAAUAUGAGUGUAGUCAGUUCAUUAUUGAUUCCAGUUUCAAGCCUCCAGCUAUCCUGUACAUUCACAAACUGGAGCGUCUUGGACCCACAGGUUGGCUUGGCCAGCACUGAGUAAUGUUGGGCACUGAGUAAGGUUGUGCCUCAACCUGUUUGAGCUUUAUCUCCUCAUCUGCAGAGCAAGUCCUGGACCAACCUCUCAGGGUUCUUGUCCAAUACGUUUUCUAAAGCAAAUAAAGCACUCAGCCAGUCACCGGUCAUCGUGUUAGCUGCCAUUGUCACUGCGAUACCGCCAAUUGUUUUGAACAAUAGGGUAAGAUGGAGUUCUAGGGGAGUUUAUGCAAUGUACAGUUUAACAGGACUUAAAUUUCUGCUUUUGGGAACCGAGAUUCUGCAUAUCCUGAUGC